rnacentral:rRNA from 1 species
AACGAACGCUGGCGGCAUGCCUAACACAUGCAAGUCGAACGAUGCCUUCGGGCAUAGUGGCGCACGGGUGCGUAACGCGUGGGAAUCUGCCUUUCGGUUCGGAAUAACUCAGGGAAACUUGAGCUAAUACCGGAUAACGUCGCAAGACCAAAGAUUUAUCACCGAAAGAUGAGCCCGCGUAGGAUUAGCUAGUUGGUGAGGUAAAGGCUCACCAAGGCGACGAUCCUUAGCUGGUCUGAGAGGAUGAUCAGCCACACUGGGACUGAGACACGGCCCAGACUCCUACGGGAGGCAGCAGUGGGGAAUAUUGGACAAUGGGCGAAAGCCUGAUCCAGCAAUGCCGCGUGAGUGAUGAAGGCCUUAGGGUGGUAAAGCUCUUUUACCCGGGAAGAUAAUGACGGUACCGGGAGAAUAAGCCCCGGCUAACUCCGU